rnacentral:tRNA from 1 species
GCUUGGCUCAGUGGUAGAGCAAAUCCUUCACACGGAUGGGGUCGCAGGCUAGAAUCCUCGUGCACCA